rnacentral:rRNA from 1 species
GAUGAACGUUGGCGGCAUGCUUAACACAUGCAAGUCGCACGGGCAGUUUCGGCUGUCAGUGGCGGACGGGUGAGGAACGCGUAGGAACGUGUCGUUGGGUGGGGGAUAACGCUGGGAAACUGGCGCUAAUACCGCAUGAAGGCUGAGGCCUAAAGCCUUUCGGGGCGCCUGAUGAGUGGCCUGCGUCUGAUUAGCUUGUUGGUGGGGUAAUGGCCUACCAAGGCUCCGAUCGGUAGCUGGUCUGAGAGGACGACCAGCCACACUGGGACUGAGACACGGCCCAGACUCCUACGGGAGGCAGCAGUGGGGAAUAUUGGACAAUGGGCGCAAGCCUGAUCCAGCAAUGCCGCGUGGAUGAAGAAGGUUUUCGGAUUGUAAAGUCCUUUCGGCGGGGACGAUGAUGACGGUACCCGCAGAAGAAGCCCCGGCUAACUUCGUGCCAGCAGCCGCCGUAAAAC